rnacentral:rRNA from 1 species
GACGAACGCUGGCAGCGUGCUUAACACAUGCAAGUCGAACGGUGAAGCGCCUUCCUUUUUGGUGGGUGUGGAUGAGUGGCGAACGGGUGAGUAACACGUGAGUAACCUGCCCCCUUCUUCUGGAUAACCGCAUGAAAGUGUGGCUAAUACGGGAUAUUCUGGGUCUGUCGCAUGAUGGGUCUGGGAAAGAUAUUGUUUCGGUGGGGGAUGGGCUCGCGGCCUAUCAGCUUGUUGGUGGGGUGAUGGCCUACCAAGGCGGUGACGGGUAGCCGGCCUGAGAGGGUGGACGGUCACACUGGGACUGAGACACGGCCCAGACUCCUACGGGAGGCAGCAGUGGGGAAUAUUGCACAAUGGGCGCAAGCCUGAUGCAGCGACGCCGCGUGAGGGAUGGAGGCCUUCGGGUUGUGAACCUCUUUCGCCAGUGAAGCAGGCCUGCCUCGUUUGUGGGUGGGUUGACGGUAGCUGGAUAAGAAGCGCCGGCUAACUACGUG